rnacentral:rRNA from 1 species
GUGGGGAAUAUUGGACAAUGGGCGAAAGCCUGAUCCAGCCAUGCCGCGUGUGUGAAGAAGGUCUUCGGAUUGUAAAGCACUUUAAGUUGGGAGGAAGGGCAGUAAGUUAAUACCUUGCUGUUUUGACGUUACCGACAGAAUAAGCACCGGCUAACUUCGUGCCAGCAGCCGCGGUAAUACGAAGGGUGCAAGCGUUAAUCGGAAUUACUGGGCGUAAAGCGCGCGUAGGUGGUUUUGUAAGUUGGAGGUGAAAUCCCCGGGCUCAACCUGGGAACUGCCUCCAAAACUGCAUGACUAGAGUACGGUAGAGGGUAGUGGAAUUUCCUGUGUAGCGGUGAAAUGCGUAGAUAUAGGAAGGAACACCAGUGGCGAAGGCGACUACCUGGACUGAUACUGACACUGAGGUGCGAAAGCGUGGGGAGCAAACAGGAUUAGAAACCUGGUAGUCC